AGCAGUUUAUGAUGAUUUAAUCUAAUUGGGAAUCUCUCUGAAAAAUAGUGAAAGAUGAAUUAAAUCUGAAACAGUG